GCUGGUCUAGCUUCUGAGCUGAGAUCAGACUCCUGGCAUGGGCCUGUGGCUUCCACAAGAGUCCGAUAAUCAACGAAAGAUCCUGCAUUAUCAACUGUGAACUCAUACCUAGAAGAGACAGUUAAUGUUGUAAACAUAUGAAUGGCUGCUGGCCCAUCUCUGUGGGCCAAGAGACAGAUUCCAGCUGAAAGGAGAAUAAAGCAAAAGCUUUGUGAUGAGUAAUUAAGGCAGGGGUCAUGUGAAGCUGUGCUUCAGGGAUCAGUACUUUUGACAACCUGUGCUGACUCCGUGCUCCCUGUUGUGAGGAGGCUGGUGCUGAUGGACAAGAAAAUACAGUGGAAAGUCAGUCCUACCUUCAAAGAUGUCAUCCUCUGAUGCUAGUGUGGGUCAACACAUGGCUCUUUUAAGGGGUUUAACUAGCAGGGUGGCGGGACGCAGCUUGCUCCUCAUACUACAAACUGCAACCUGGACGUGGAGGAUGAUCAGCCUCUUUCAGGAACAGGGAACAGGUAAGCUCUCCUAUGAGGAAAUGCUGGAUGGAAAAGAGAAGCCAGUAUAAAAGGCAAUGAAAGCCAAAGA